UACGUAGGGGGCAAGCGUUGUCCGGAUUUAUUGGGCGUAAAGAGCGUGUAGGCGGUUUGGUAGGUCCGUUGUGAAAACUCGAGGCUCAACCUCGAGACGCCGGCGGAAACCAUCAGGCUAGAGUCCGGAAGAGGAGAGUGGAAUUCCUGGUGUAGCGGUGAAAUGCGCAGAUAUCAGGAAGAACACCCGUGGCGAAGGCGGCUCUCUGGGACGGUACUGACGCUGAGACGCGAAAGCGUGGGGAGCGAACAGG
rnacentral:rRNA from 1 species